rnacentral:rRNA from 1 species
GACGUAGGAGGCGAGCGUUGUCCGGAUUUACUGGGCGUAAAGGACGCGUAGGCGGCCUUGUCAGUCAGGCGUGAAAGCCCCGGGCUCAACCUGGGAACGGCGCUUGGGACGGCGAGGCUGGAGUUCGGGAGAGGAGAGUGGAAUUCCCAGUGUAGAGGUGAAAUUCGUAGAUAUUGGGAAGAACACCGGUGGCGAAGGCGGCUCUCUGGACCGACACUGACGCUGAGGCGCGAAAGCGUGGGGAGCAAACAGG